rnacentral:rRNA from 1 species
GGGGAAUAUUGGACAAUGGGCAAAAGCCUGAUCCAGCCAUGCCGCGUGUGUGAAGAAGGUCUUCGGUUUGUAAACCACUUUAAGUUGGGGGGAAGGGUUUCUGGCUAUUAUCAGGAAAUUUUGACUUAACGGACAGAAUAGGCACCGGCUAACUCAUUGCCAGCAGCCGCGGUAAUACGAAGGGUGCAAGCGUUAAUUGGAAUUACUGGGCGUAAAGCGCGCGUAGGUGGUUCGUUAAGUUGGAUGUGAAAGCCCCGGGCUCAACCUGGGAACUGCAUCCAAAACUGGCGAGCUAGAGUAUGGCAGAGGGUGGUGGAAUUUCCUGUGUAGCGGUGAAAUGCGUAGAUAUAGGAAGGAACACCAGUGGCGAAGGCGACCACCUGGGCUAAUACUGACACUGAGGUGCGAAAGCGUGGGGAGCAAACA